rnacentral:rRNA from 1 species
GCUCAACACAUUCAUGGCAGCGGUCUUGGGGGCAGCGGCGGACGGGUGAGUAACGCGUGGGAACCUGCCCUUUGGUACGGAACAACUGAGGGAAACUUCAGCUAAUACCGUAUGUGCCCUUCGGGGGAAAGAUUUAUCGCCAUUGGAGCGGCCCGCGUUAGAUUAGCUAGUUGGUAGGGUAAAGGCCUACCAAGGCGACGAUCUAUAGCUGGUCUGAGAGGAUGAUCAGCCACACUGGGACUGAGACACGGCCCAGACUCCUACGGGAGGCAGCAGUAGGGAAUCUUGCGCAAUGGGCGAAAGCCUGACGCAGCCAUGCCGCGUGAAUGAUGAAGGUCUUAGGAUUGUAAAAUUCUUUCACCGGGGACGAUAAUGACGGUACCCGGAGAAGAAGCCCCGGCUAACUUCGUGCCAGCAGCCGCGGUAAUACGAAGGGGGCUAGCGUUGCUCGGAAUUACUGGGCGUAAAGGGAGCGUAGGCGGAUAGUUUAGUCAGAGGUGAAAGCCCAGGGCUCAACCUUGGAAUUGCCUUUGAUACUGGCUAUCUUGAGUAUGGAAGAGGUAUGUGGAACUCCGAGUGUAGAGGUGAAAUUCGUAGAUAUUCGGAAGAACACCAGUGGCGAAGGCGACAUACUGGUCCAUUACUGACGCUGAGGCUCGAAAGCGUGGGGAGCAAACAGGAUUAGAUACCCUGUAGUCCACGCCGUAAACGAUGAGUGCUAGUUGCGGCUGCUGCUGUCGGUGACGCAGCUAACGCUUAAGCACUCCGCCUGGGAGACGGCGCAAGAUAAAACUCAAGGAUUGACGGGGGCCCGC